UGGGUAAUAUUUUCAUAAAGUUUCAUCCAGUUGGGUCUUAUAACGACAGAGUUAGAAUUUUUGAUAUUUUAGCUGUUUCCAUGGUAACGGUAGCCAUUUUGAAAAUUCCAAGAUCAAAAUGCAGCUCAAGCCAUGCCUGUUAAUAUUUAAGUGAAGUUUCGUGCAGUUUGGAACACUUUGAAUAUUUUCGGAUUUUUGCUGUUUCCAUGGAAACGGCAGCCAUUUUGACCAUUCCAAAGUCAGGUGCACAACUUCAGAUGCUGGUGCACAUUGUGGUAUACUUCCAUCAACAUUGGUCAACUCAAUUCCAAGAAACUGCGUGGACAAAAUGUGUGGAAGAAGAAUAAGAAAAAAAAGAAUCGAUGAAUAACAAUACGUCACCCCAACUCCGUUGAGGGUGCCAUAACUAGAUUUGCCAUUGCAAGCAAUAGCGGAUGGCACCCUUUCCCCAUUGCCAGGCCAGCGGCAGCCAUUUAGAAAAUUUUUGCUGUUUCCAUGGCAACGGCGGCCAUUUUGAAAAUUCGAAACUCAAAAGUUAAGUCUACAUAAGCUAGGCAAAAUUUGUUAUAAGUUUCAUUAAAUUUAAAGCAUUUUAAAGUUUUUCAUAAUUUUGCUGUUCCCAUGGUAACGGCGGCCAUUUUGAAUAUUCCAAAGUCAAACCCCCGCUGCAAUUUUUGCCCUCCAUAAUCAUAUAUACCAUUUAAUGUCUCUAGAAUAAAUUUAACAUUGAUGUUCUGGAAUGUUCUGUGAAAAUUCAAAGUUUUGACCUUUUUGCAUUGUUUCCAUGGUAACAACAGAUAUUUUGGAAAUUCCAACGCCAAAUUCCACAUCUUCCAAUGUUGCUCAUCGUUACUGUGAAGUUUCAUGAAGUUUGGAGCAUUUUGAUAUUUUUGAAAUUUUUGGUGUAGUUUCCAUGGCAACAUAGUAGUUCCAAUGAGUGCCAAAAUCAUCCAACACCUGUAUAUGGCCGGCACCUACAUUGUAUCAAAAUAUAAUGUUUCUGAGUUUAAGCAUAUCAAAACAGUUCACCAAAACAAAAAAACAGGAUUUUUUCACAUUUGUUUCGUUUCCAUGGCAACGGCAGCCAUCUUGAUGAUGCCAUACCCCACUGCACUAUUUAAUGUGGUGGUCAACAUUAUGGUAUAGUUCCAUCAAUAUUGUUCAAGUCAAUUCUGAGAAAUAGAAUGGACAAAAAAGUGUGGAAGAAUAAAAAUAAUAAUAAUAUGAAAAAAAGAAACGAACAAUAACAAUAUGUCACCCCAACUCCGUUGAGGGUGCCAUAAAAAGAAUCGUACAAUAACAAUAUGUCACCCGACCUCCGUCAGGGUGACAUAAUAAUAAGAAAAAAAGAAACGUAGAAUAACAAUACGUCACCCCAACUCCGUUGAGGGUGCCAUAACUAGAAUUGCCAUUGCAAGCAAUAGCGGAUGUCACCCUUCCCCCAAUUGCCACUAAGCGGCAGCCAUUUCAAAAUUGUUUAACAGUGAAUGCACAUAUAUGCAUGGCAAUACAUCUUUCUGUAAAUUUUCAGUACAUUGAGAGCAUUUUUAAAAAAAUUUCACAUUUCUGCUGUUUCCAUGGCAACGGCAGCCAUUUUGAAAAUUUCAAAGUCAAAAGUCUCAUCUUUACUUGCCAGUUAACAAUAAUAUCAAGUUUCAUUAAGUUCAAAGCAUUUUGAGAAUUUUGACUUUUUUGCAGUUUCCAUGGCAACGGUGGCCAUUUUGGAAAUUCCAAAGUCAAAAGUCUCAUCCAGACUUGCCAGUCAACAAUCAUAUUAAGUUUGAUCAAUUUAGGAGCAUUUUGAAAUUUUUGAAAUAUUUGGUCCUGUAUCCAUGGUAACAGAAGAGUUCCAAUGAUUGUCAAAAUCAUUCAAAAGCUGUAUAUAGUGGACAACUAUAUUGUGUAAAAAUUUGAUGAUUUCAAGUUCUAGCAUACCAAAAUUAUUUACCAAACCCUGAGGUUUUUAGAGCAUUUUGACACUUAUGCACUGUUUCCAUGGUAACGGCAGACAUUUUGGAAAUUCCAACGCCAAAUUACGCAUCUACCAAAGUUGCUCAUCGUUACUAUGAAGUUUCAAAAAAUUUGGAGCAUUUUGAAAUUUUUGAAAUUUUUGGGGUAGUUUCCAUGGCAACAUAGUGGUUCCAAUGAUUGCCAAUAUCAUCCAAAACCAAUAUAUGGCUGGCACCUACAUUGUGAUAAAAUAUGAUGAUUCUGAGUUUAAGCAUCUCUAAAUUAUUCACAAAACCAAAAAGUGGAAUUUUUCACAAUUGUUCCGUUUCCAUGGAAACGGCAGCCAUUUUUUAUGGUCUUAGACCCUACUGCAACCCGAAAUUUUGUGUUCCUC
rnacentral:lncRNA from 1 species